AUGUGCGGGGCCGCGACCAACGUCAGCCAGACCGAUUUCCUGCGUCUGCCAGUCCCGCCACGGAUUCUUUUGGGAUCCUUAAACAAGGAGCCCUUAGAGAGGAGGGAUUAAGGCAACAGAUUAGAGCCAAUUGCCUGCUGCGGGGACGGCCAGCCCUUCCAGGCCUGGCCGCCGAGGGGAGAGGAAAGAUGAACUGAGCACCGCUGAGGGAAGACACUGAAGCAAGAGCGACUCCCCCUCCCGCCCCCCACCUUGACGAGCAGGCUUUGAAAGCUGCUCCCCCAUCUGAAUGGAAACUGGGCACCGGCGGGCAACGCGUUCCUUCUGGCUCAGCAGGGCGAUCCAUGCUGAGAGGAAGGUGCUGCGAGUCCGCGCCAGCGCCCAGCUCUCGGGACAGGGCCGGCAAUGCUGCUGAGCAGAACUUGAUCGGGCCCCUUCCUCGCUGCUAGUGGAAGCGAUGCUGCGCGGCGCAGCCGGCGCUUCCCCGGUUCUCCUUCAAGCUGAAGGUUACCCACCCGCGCAGCCAACUCCAGCCCUGUGAGCAGCGCGCCUCGGGUCCUGGCUCCGGCUGCUUGGCCGCGGCGUGCAGGGCAACCACCGGGCCGCCCGCGCAGGGGCGCACUGCACCAGCGGCUUCGGUUUGGUGGAUGUGUAUGCAUGAGUUCUGCACCGAAUGGGCGCAAAAAGCGCCCCAGCCGGCCCACCCGCUCCUCGAUCUUCCAGAUCAGCAAGCCCCCGCUGCAGAGCGGGGAUUGGGAGCGCAGGGGCAGCGGCUCCGAAAGCGCCCACAAAACCCAAAGAACCCUGGACGACUGCAAGAUGCUUGUCCAAGAGUUCAACACACAAGUGGCCCUGUACCGAGAAUUGGUCAUUUCUAUUGGGGACGUCUCUGUCAGCUGUCCCUCACUCCGGGCAGAAAUGCACAAGACGAGAACCAAAGGCUGUGAAAUGGCCCGUCAGGCACACCAAAAACUGGCUGCCAUCUCAGGCCCAGAAGAUGGUGAGAUACAUCCAGAAAUCUGCCGGCUUUACAUACAGCUGCAGUGCUGCUUAGAAAUGUACACGACAGAGAUGCUAAAAUCCAUUUGUCUGCUGGGGUCUCUUCAGUUGCAUCGAAAAGGAAAGGAAGCAGGUGGGGGAACAAAGAGUUUGGACUGCAAAAUUGAAGAGAGUGUUGAAACUCCUGCCCUAGAGGACUCCUUGUCAUCUCCCACUGACAGUCAGCAACACUCCUGGCAGGUUUCCACAGACAUCGAGAAUACUGAAAGAGACAUGCGUGAAAUGAAAAACCUUUUAAGCAAACUCAGGGAAACUAUGCCUUUACCAUUGAAAAAUCAAGGUGUCAGCUUCCUAUGGUGUGGAAAACUGCUCUGAAUUUCUGCCAAGAAUUUUUGAGCUUCCGUGUCUCCUUGGCCCUAGGUGAUGAUCAGACAAGCUCCUGGCUGGGCAAAGGUGUCACAAAUGCACAACAAUGCUGCCCCAAACCAUCAGUCAUCCUUAAUAGAUGACAGCAGCCUUCUGAAUCUAACUCCCUACCCCUUGGUUAGAAGACGGAAGAGAAGGUUCUUUGGGCUGUGUUGUCUCGUCUCAAGCUAAGCGAUUUCUCCUGGAAACCCACCACUGGGAACACCUGAAUAAAGAAUCACGAAACCUGAGAACCUCCAGACAGCUGAACCACACAGUGAUUGAUUUUUGACUAAGUUUUCUAUGAUUCCUUAUUACUUUUACCCGCCUCUCCCUGCCCUUUUCAAUGAUUUUACACUUGAAAGCAGCUGCCAUCAAGGAAAAAAGAACAGAUUUAAAAAGCAGGCUGUUUUUUUAAAGGAUUUCUAAAGUUGACAUUGUGCAUGUCUGCUCCAAACCAUGCCAUGACAGAUGCAAGAAUUAUGAUUUUUAAAUUAUUUAAAGAUUUUUAAGUGUAUUAUAGAGAAAAAUUAUUUCACAUAUAAUAGUAUAUCUAUAUCUAUAGCUCCUGCUGAUCUCAUGUUAACACCUUAUCAUACAUGAAAGAAGUCUUUAAACAUAGAAAUCUACUUAAAACUACAAAAUUGUGUUUUAAAAUUCCAAUAUAUCAAUAUCAUUAGAAAUAAUGUAACCAAACAUAUACCACCUCACUUAUUUCUUUCUCUGCACUCAUUUACCUUUAGUCUUCCAUUCUGUCAGAAUCUAAACCUUCAACAUAAAAAUACCAUCUUAAUUUAUAACAACAAAAAUCAUAUAUGAGAAAUACAUUUUGUAAAUACACAAUAAUCCUAAUACCUUCGCACAAUGCUAUGGGAGACUAAUUUCCCUUUGAGCCAACAGUGUCUUUUCAGCUUCUUGGAGAAUGAAGUUAGGAAAUGGUGUAGUAACAUAUACAAUUACCCUCAAAUGUAAAAUUGAAUAUUAUCACAUUUUGUUCUAAUUGAAAUCUGAAGCAUGGUGUCUGCACAUCAGCAUAGUGUUAAACUCAUAGGGCAUGCUGGAAUUAGCUCAGAUCGUAAAAAUAUUAACAUUUUACAUUAUUAAUAAAAAUUUUUAGUUAAGCUAAGCUUGUCUCAUUUUAGAUGACUAUGCAGAUAUAACUUUUCCAAUGUGUACUUGGUGUCUUGUCUUAUGCUUAGAAUACUGAAAGCAGGACACAUUAAGCAAUAUUAUAUUUUAGAAAGGAGGAAGUCACGUGCUUUGUUUUUCUGCUCACAGCUUUGUUGUGAUCUUCCUCCACUAAACUUGUAAUAUGAUUCAAAUUUUGUUAUAUUUCCCAUUUCUCCUUUGACCCAUUUCCAGACAGAAUUUCCCAUGGUUGGAGAUAUCAAGUCUUUGCACUUCUUUUCUUGUUUCUAUAGUUUGAAAAAUCUUGAAAAUCUGGACAGGAGGCACCAGUGUCCAGCACAACAGAAGUAUGACCCUAAUGCCCACAUGUGGUUUACAUAAAACUCACCUUCAAUCUCAACCCUGCAAAGGCAUUUAUAUAUACACUAAUAUCGUUACCUAAAAACUAAAUAUUUUUAGCUUAAAUGGAGAUGAAGAAAGUGAAUAAUUACUGUAUUAGGUUGAAUUAUAUGAAAUUGCUGAUAUUUGACUGUUUCGAUCUAUAAAAAUGGCAGUUUCAGAUAAUUCUCCCUAGUAUCUGAUGUGCAAGUAAAAGAAUUAAAACACUAGAAGACAUCUCAAAAGGUCACGCGGGUCCCUACUUUGAUUACACCAGCUGUUACUUGGCCUUGAUCUUGACUUCCACACUUGUGUUCCAACAAACUGGUAUUUGAUGCAAGGUUCCAGGUAUGCCUGGCUUCACAAAAGGAAGUAUCCUUGACAAGCUAUAUGAGAAAAAUCACAAUUUUCUAAAUCAAAAACUUGUAAAACAAUUGUGAUAGUAUAUUAUUACAAGUAACUAUUCCCAGACCCACCUGGUCUGCUGACGUUGAUUUUCAUAAAUCAAGCUUAAUUAAAGCUUAAUAUUCUUUCCUGAAUCUGGAAUGUUAUUUCAUUUAAGGGCCAUUGUUUUCAAGAUUAUGAAGUAGGCCAAAUCGGCAUGCUCUCAGCUCCUGUCUCUGCCUUCUCCUACCUUUGACCAUAUUGAAACUUUAGCCUCAAUCUUGUUCCUACUAAUCCAUGAAAAGUUAUUAAUUGAUAAGCCCAACCUUGUAUUCAGCAGGUUCUUCUAAAUGCCUAACCUAAAUCAUUUUUGCUUGGUUAAUUUGAGUUCACUCUCGCCUUAGUCUCAGUGUGAAAGUAACAUCUUAUGUGCAAUUGUCCUCUGUACACCUAAAGACUGUUAAUAAAUUCAGAUCUCACCUCCAUGUCUGCGAAGGCUGUAGUAGCUAUUCAUGGAGAUGGGAAUUUGUCUACCUAGCCAGACUUUCCAUAUCAAAGAUAAUAUACUCAGCCACCUUAUCUUUUAUUCAUAGUGCCUGUUUUCCAGACUUCGAUCAAUUUUAUAGUUCCUGUAGACAGACAUACUCCAAGAUUUAUAGAUAAUUCUUUCAGUAGCAGGUCCUAAAAUUACAUUUAGUACUGAAAGCUCUGAUAAUCUACAUUGGCUCAUAGUUGCAAUAGGUGAUUCGCCAUCUCCCAUUAGAUAUGCCAGUGCACCCGUUCGGAGCUGCCCCUCUCUCCUUCCACCUUCCAAGGACUUUCUCAGGUAUAGUUCCAUGAGAUAAAGUUCUGCUGUCUUAGCUUCUUGCUGGAAUUUACUUUGAGAUUAGCAAUUAACCAUGAGCUGGUCUCUAAAGGUAAGAAGAGAACAGUGAACCUGCUUUCUCAUGUGUACCCACAUGCUUGAAACAGAAAAUGACAUAAACUUGGCACACACACUCACACAUUUUAUCCCCAAUUUUUCAUAACCCCCGUUGUUAUUUUUCCAAAUUACAAAGGCAAUACAUGCUCUUUGCGGUAAAUUUGAAAAAUAUUACCAUAUAACAAAAGUUAAAGUCACCUGAAUCCCUCCACAUUUAAAACUACAUUUUUGGGCUUUAAAUCAGUAAGGGACUAGGUCUGAAGGGACUUUUAGAUAAGACAGAUAAAAUGCCCAUGAUGCCAAUGUGUCAUUUUAAAUAUCUGUCCAGUAAUGUUUCAUAUGCAUCUAGGUGUAAAACUAACUACAAACUUCUGGUUGUGCUUUUGUUCAUGGCUACAAACAAAGUUUUAAAAGUAGCACAGCCCUAACUGCCUCCUCUAAUUAAUUAAUGCUCCUGGGGAAAUUCUAAAAUCUUGUUGACCAUUAUGUUCCUCCAUGCUCCUGUAAAAACAGUUGGGAUGCUCAGUGUUUGGCAAUACUGCCACCUACUGAAAGCUAUGCUUUGGAGUGAGAGGAAAAAAUAUAAAUGCACAGGAGUAGAAAAGCUCAUAAUUUAUUUCAGAAAGCAAGCAAAUGGACUGGAUUAAUAAUGAUCCUGUCUGAAAGUUUGGACUCUGAAAGUCUCAAUAUUGAAAGGAUUAAGGCUAUCAUCCACCCUAACUUUCUGCCCCUUGCUGCUAUGCCUAAGCCAUGUCUACUGUUUCUUUGUAUUCUAGAAUAUCACUCAUCAGAAAAUGUUCAACUUUCAGGUAACUAUAGAUAGAAUGAGAAAAAGCAGUAGUACUAUUAGCCUCAGAAUAAAUCAUUAGAAUUAAAUAUGCAGUCCACGAUUGACCGAAGUACAUAAAAUAAUUGAGUAUAUUACAAGAUGACAAUUCAAACCUAAUAAAAGGUUAGACUAUCAGGUUAAGUUAUUGUGGGAGAAAUAUUAGAUCUAUGCCUCAUAACUUUCAUCAAAAUAAAUUUUAUAUGAAAUAAAGGUUUAAAUGUUAAAGUACAUAAAUAAACACAUGAAAGGACUAGCAGGCAACAUGAAUCAAUACAUAAUUUUAGUGAGGGGGAAAAAAGCCUUUCAAUCAUAAUUCUAAAGGAAGGAACUAUAAAAAGAAGACGAAUAGAUUGGACCAAUUAAAAAUGAAAAACUCCUACAGAAUAAAAAAUAAACCACAUUAAUAAAAAUAAUAUUUGUGGCAGACGGAACAAAGAGUCCAGAUCUCUAACAUAUAUGAAGAGCUUAAAAAAUCACUACUCUGAGAAAGUUUCCAUAAAAGUCCCCGUACUUUUUUCAUUAUUUCUUGUUUGUUCAUCCCCCUAAACAGGAAGUACAGAGCAACAAGCAUUGUUUAUUUUGCUUAUUGUUUCUCCAAAGCCUAAUACAGCACUAGACACAAAGCAAAUACUGAAAACGUAUUUAUUGAAUGAGUGAAAAGAGAAUGAAUGACAAAUUAUAUUUUAUGACUCAAAAAGAAUCAAACUUUCUAGUAGAAAAUAAAAUUAUGGGCAUAAUGUGAUAGUGCACCACAACCUAAAAUAAUUCAAUAAUAAUAACUGUGAAAGCAUUUAAAUGUAUGAGUAAUAAAAAUACAGAUUAAUAUGGUAAACUCCUUUUUAAAACUCAAAAAGGCAGAGAGCCUAAAGAAUUAAACUUCCCAAAAACAACAAGAAAGGAUGGAAAUGAAUGUUGUCUUGUAUUCAACAGGACCAUAAGUUGAUUCAACCUUUCUGAAAAAUGUUUUGGCAUUAUAGUUUUUCUGCAUGUCCAGUAAUUCCACCUUAUUGGAAACUCUCCUUUUAGAAAUUCCACAGAAAAAAAUUAGCUAAGAUGCCUUUAUUCAUUAUUCAAAAAAUUAUGCAAGAAGGGAUGUUUAUAGCAGCAUUACUUGAAAAGUAGAAAAAUAUAAAUAAGCCUACAUUAUAUGUUUGGUUAAAUAUGGUAUGUCUUUUCAGUGGAAUACUGAGGACCAAUUAGAAUAAGUGUCAUGUAUAUUUAAUGAAAUGUACAAACUAUUAGGAAAUGAAAAAGAGGAAGUUACAAAACAGUAUUAAUGUAUGAUCCCUUUUUAAAAACAUAUAUAUAGAUGUGUGCAUUAAGGGGUCUGAAAAGAUAAUUGCCAAAAGCAUAACAGCAUUUAUCUCUGGGAGGUGAGAUUUGGAGCAAUUACUUUUUCUUUUUGCAUAUCUGUAAUUUCUAGUUUUUCCACAAUGAGCAUGUAAUAUCUGUAUAAUUUUUUCAGGGAAUAAACAAUGAUAUUCACAAUAUACAGUAAAUGAAAAAACAUGUUAUAAAAUAGUAUAUAUAUAUAGUAUGAUACAAUAUUUGUAAAAAAGAAAAUUAUAUAUAAAUAUACCUAUAUAUAUGCAUAAGAAAGCUAGAAGGACCUACACUACAAUGUUAAUAGCAGUUAUCAAUGGGUAGUGGGAUUAUGGGUGAUUAUUUUUUCUUUUUUCUUUUCUGUUUUCUAAUUUUUCUACAAUGAACAUGUAUUACUUGUGUAAUAAAAACUAAUAAUAAAAAUUUUAAAAAUA